CCGCCUAAAAAGGGGUUAACUAAUAAUCUUUAUUCAUUUCAAUUAUUAUUUGUCCCUGUGUUGCGUUUUUGAGUCAUUUGUAUUUUUAUUUUGAAAACCGGAAGUUUAUUUUAUAAAGAAACCGGAAGUAGUGCUCUGUAAUACUCACUCCCGCCUAGCGAGUUAAUACGUCUGGAGCCCAGGCUUCUGUUUUCUCCCGUGUGGGUGUUAAACGAGGGAAAAAGAAGUCCGAGGACCGAUAGGGAAGCAUUGUGUUGCCCUGGUUUUCUGGUAGAAACCCCCUUCCUUGGUCAGGUCUUUUUGUGAUGCAAGAAAGAAUCGAGAAAUACCAGUCAUCCCACAAGGCGGACUGGCGAUCCAUUUGAUGGCGAGCCUCCCAUGACGAACUGUGGAAGUCCACCACACCGCUUAGCAAGUGGAUCUGGUGGUAGGAUCGUGCAAAUCUUGUUGUCCAACAACAAGAUACCCUUCCUGCAUACUUACUCAUGACUUUUGACUAUUCCCCCUGACUUUUGACUUGAA